UCUCAAACUGGGCUCAACCCAUCUCAGGUGAUCUGCCCACCUCACCCUCCCAAAGUGUUGGGAUUACAUUCAUGAGCCACCACGCCUGGCCAAGAGUCUUAAUAUUAAGUUAGCCUCUUAUUGUUUUGUGGAUGUUGACAAAAGACACAAGACUUUUGGUUCAGAGAUGAAGGACUAUAUUACUCAUGACACAGCAAGCAGCAUAAGUAUCAGCAUAUUUGUGUUGCUUUCCUUUCCCUCCAAGUCCCACAGAGGUGACAAGAAGGGCCUAGUGAAUGCUGCAGACAUAUUGGGCUUGUGUCACAGCUGAGGAACCAAAGGCCGAUAACUUUUUGAGCAAGUAGCGAGCACUGUAGCAGGCAGCAAACAAGCCAGGCCUCCUCUGCCCAGAGAGUGAGCAGUUACACUGAAUCAUGCUGUGGUCACCUUGACCUAUUUAGUUGUCUAUGGGACUAGCUACAGAAAUUGCUCAGAAUUGGUAGACAGAUUAGUCCUGUAGCCUGGCACACUCAGCAAGAAUGUGCAAGACCACCCAGGGCUCAUGGUGAGCUGUCUGUCCCCAUAGUUUUAAUACUUUGGAAAGGGGAAAUAAAUUAUGAGCAAACUUAAUAGUUCUUAUUUUAAUAAUUUACUCUA
rnacentral:lncRNA from 1 species